rnacentral:rRNA from 1 species
UGACGAAGGGUGCAAACGUUGCUCGGAAUUAUUGGGCGUAAAGCGCACGUAGGCGGCAUUGCAAGUCCCAUGUGAAAGCCCACGGCUUAACCGUGGAAGUGCAUGGGAAACUGCAGUGCUUGAGUACUUAAGAGGAUCGCGGAAUUCCCGGUGUAGAGGUGAAAUUCGUAGAUAUACGGGAGGAACACCAGUGGCGAAGGCGGCGAUCUGGGAAGAUACUGACGCUGAGGUGCGAAAGCGUGGGGAGCAAACAGG